rnacentral:rRNA from 1 species
AUGCAAGUCGAGGGGUAUUGGUUUUCGGACCAAGAGACCGGCGCACGGGUGCGUAACGCGUAUGCAAUCUACCUUUUGCAGAGGGAUAGCCCAGAGAAAUUUGGAUUAAUACCUCAUAGUAUAGCAGUUUCGCAUGAAACCACUAUUAAAGUCACAACGGCAAAAGAUGAGCAUGCGUCCCAUUAGCUAGUUGGUAAGGUAACGGCUUACCAAGGCUACGAUGGGUAGGGGUCCUGAGAGGGAGAUCCCCCACACUGGUACUGAGACACGGACCAGACUCCUACGGGAGGCAGCAGUGAGGAAUAUUGGACAAUGGGCGCAAGCCUGAUCCAGCCAUGCCGCGUGCAGGAUGACGGUCCUAUGGAUUGUAAACUGCUUUUGUACAGGAAGAAACACUCCCUCGUGAGGGAGCUUGACGGUACUGUAAGAAUAAGGAUCGGCUAACUCCGUGCCAGCAGCCGCGGUAAUACGGAGGAUCCAAGCGUUAUCCGGAAUCAUUGGGUUUAGAGGGUCCGUAGGCGGUUUAGUAAGUCAGUGGUGAAAGCCCAUCGCUCAACGGUGGAACGGCCAUUGAUACUGCUAGACUUGAAUUAUUAGGAAGUAACUAGAAUAUGUAGUGUAGCGGUGAAAUGCUUAGAGAUUACAUGGAAUACCAAUUGCGAAGGCAGGUUACUACUAAUGGAUUGACGCUGAUGGACGAAAGCGUGGGUAGCGAACAGGAUUAGAUACCCUGGUAGUCCACGCCGUAAACGAUGGAUACUAGCUGUUGGGAGCAAUCUCAGUGGCUAAGCGAAAGUGAUAAGUAUCCCACCUGGGGAGUACGUUCGCAAGAAUGAAACUCAAAGGAAUUGACGGGGGCCCGCACAAGCGGUGGAGCAUGUGGUUUAAUUCGAUGAUACGCGAGGAACCUUACCAGGCUUAAAUGUAGAUUGACCGGUUU